CAUAUUGAAGUUGUUGAUGACAUGACAACAGAUGCGUUUAUUAAUGCUUUAAGAGCAUUCAUUGCCAUAAGAGGAAAUGUUCGUCAACUGCGAUGUGACCAAGGUACCAAUUUUAUUGGUGCAAGGAGAGAGUUUGCAGAACUCAUGAAAGGAAUGGAUCAAGAAAAGGUGAAGGCUCUGGGAUGUGAGUUUCUUAUGAACCCUCCAACAGCAAGUCAUAUGGGCGGCAUCUGGGAGAGGCAGAUAAGAACUAUAAGAAGUGUCCUUACAGCUGUUCUCGACCAGUCUACACAAAGGCUCGAUAGUACAUCAUUAAGAACCUUCUUAUAUGAGGUCAUGGCCAUCAUCAACAGCAGACCACUCAACGCUGAACAUCUAAAUGACCCAUCUGGACCUGAACCUUUGACUCCUAACCAUAUCCUUACAAUGAAGUCUACAAUAAUUCUGCCCCCACCUGGACAAUUCAUCAGAGAAGAUCUUUAUCUUAAGAAGAGGUGGCGUAGAGUGCAGUAUUUAGCCAAUGAGUUUUGGACCCGGUGGAAAGGGGAAUAUCUGUUGAACCUACAAUCAAGACAAAAGUGGCACAAGAGUAGAAGGAACUCUAAGGUCAAUGACAUUGUCCUUCUUCAAGAUGACCUGGCACCACGCUGUGAAUGGAAACUGGCCAGAAUCACUGAAGCCCAUCCAGGGUCAGAUGGUAGGGUGAGAAAAUUAAAAUUGUUGGUUAGUGACACCACAUUUGACCAAAAGGGGAAGCCCAUUACUAAAGCGGUGUUUCUUGAGAGACCUGUACAAAAGGUUGUCACUCUGCUUGAGGCAGAGUAAGGUGUGUAUUUAUUUUGUUUCCUGACAUUUCAUGGUAAAUGUAUUUUGAAAUUCAUGUUUGCUUAUAAAAGAAGGAAAGAUGUUUAAGAAAUCCCACAUUAAGAUUUGUGUGAUUUGGUGGGAGUGUAACUGUUGUUGUUUAUUAAGUUAUGUUUAAGUUUAUAUUUUAUAAGUUAAAGUUUAAUAAGUUAAAUUCAUGUAAUAUAAUUUAUAUAUUUCAGUUAAAACCAGGCAUUAUAAGUUAAAUUUAUAAUUUAGUGAUUUAAGUUAUUUGUGUUUCACUUCCUGUUAUGACACAUUUAUUUUGA
rnacentral:lncRNA from 1 species